GAGGCCAGGAGGAAGCAGGAAAGAGUUUUAGUCAGCUAAAAGAGGCUGGAAGGUUUUAGGAAGCUCUAGGAAGUUUCAGCAAAGGGUGCAGGCCAAGAUUUCUUGCCCAGGAAGCUAAAAUGAAUAUCUUAACUGGAAAGAUGUUCUGCAGGCAACCCACUGCGCAGAGGAGAUGUCAGCUCCAAAGGUCUCCAGAUCUGUCAACUUUCAAGCAACUUGCUGAGAAGAGAUUAAUUUUCCACCUCAGUAUAUCUCCUGUGCUACAGGAGCAGCAGCAGCAUUGCCACAGGAUGCUUUCAAAACCCCUCCAGCCCAAGUGAUGUCAGCUUCAAAGGCUUCCCAGCACAGCAGACAGAGCUUUCGCCUUCCACAGCCUACUCCAGUGUAGGAUCUGAGGCCAGCCUGUGGGGUUUCAGUUGUUUAACCGAGAGCUCUCAAGGUGCAGCAAAGAACACGGUUGUAGAUAACAGCAGGCACCCGGUGUGCUGGGAGCUGCAGCGGGGAAGCCGAGAUGAAGGGGCUGGUGAUUCUCAUGCAGAGGGAUUUCUCUAUCCUGCUACUGAGAGAGUCAUGAUAAAUUUGUCCUUGCACAUAGAAACCUCAAGAGCUUCUCGGGCUUAUGUUGGAUUAGAGGAAGAAGGAAACAUAACCAAAGCCAUCCCAAGGCCAAAGGAAAGCCCCAGCUCCCAGGGGCCAGGCAGCUAAUUCCUGAAUGCUGCUGGAUGAACUCAAACCAGGGUUUGGCUGUGGCAAAGCUUUCUCUUCCUGCACUCUUCUGGGCAGCUUUUCUGGUAGAGGAAGUUGUUUAAGAUGCCGACAAAGAUGACAAUGUAUGGAGUGAUUUCUUGCUGUUCCUGAUUUACUGAAACACACACUUGACUUGGUUUUCUCCUAAGAUUGUGUUUAAUGUUAAGCAAGCAGGGCUAUUCAGUUGGAGUAAACUAUGUGCACGGUCGAAUGUGCUGCUCCAUUUAGCCUUAUUUUUUUUAAUAGAACAUCCUGUUUAUGCAGUUGAGGAAGAGUAAAAUGCCUGUCCAGGAAAAUUUCUCCUCCUUUUAAAACAAAUGCAUGCAAAUUGCUGGCUGUGUCACACCAGGCUGUAACUGGGAAGGACAGAACAAGGAACAGACACAGGGAAGCUUCAGCUAAUAACAUCUAUUCACAGAGGAGAGGGAAAGAGCAGGAAAAGGUCAGCGUAG